ensembl:lncRNA
GUCAGCAAGAUUUUUAAUUUUUAAGUUUUUGAAAGAAGUCUCUUCUGCUCAUCAAGGCUGCAUUUCUUUGAAUAAAAAUACAGAAAAAGCUGUAAAAAUCUGAAAUAUUAUUAUCAUUUAAAACAGCUGUUUUCUGUGUGAAUCUCUGUUAAACUGUAAUUUAUUUCUGUGAUGCGCAGCUGUAUUUUCAGCAUCAUUACUCCAGUCUUCAGUGUCACAUGAUCUUCAGAAAUCAUUCUAAUAUGAUGAUUAGCUGUGAUUAUUAUCAGUGUUGAACACAGUCGUGCUAUUCUUUAAAGGUGCAGAAGUGGAAGGCCGUGAGCUGCUGCUCCUCAGAUUGAUGUUCUUCAGGUGUUUGACACAUUCAGGAAUCCGGUCAGGAGAACAGCGGCUUUUGUUCCAGAAACAGGUCUCAACACCGCAGAGGAAAUGAAGGCCGUAAUGAGCGAUCUGUUUAACAGUCUGUCAUCAGAUCUGGAAUCAGCGGCCGUGAACCCGUCACCUUCACGUCUACAGCAAACGCUCCUGAGCGUCACAUCAGAAAGACUCGCUCACAGCAGCGUCCCUGUGCCAGGUGAACAGAAUGGGUUUGUGUCGGUCUGCCAGCCUCCUCACCGUUGCACAGAAAGCAACAGAAUGCUGCAGAGUCUGCUGUGAUGAUUAGCACUGCGUCUCACACCGGCUUCAGAUCGCCGCAGACGUGACAGCAUGGCUGAAAGUCACGGCAUCAAAGGAAGCGAUAUUAAUGCUGAAGGUCAGAACAUCAAUUCAGGCUGUUCUGAAAAAUUCCCAGUGAAGGACAGAGGCGCGGGUGUGUGUCAGGUGAACGGGAUCGGGUUCUGAAUGAAAGACUCGGAAGACGCACUUCAGGGAGAGGGUGCUUGCUUUCCAGGUCAUUAUUCAAACCCGACGUGAGAUCAGUUCAGCUGUGUUCAUGUUGAAGUGUCACGUAAGCCUGUUUCAAGGCCCAUUUACAAAAACACACUUUAUGAAUGAAAAAAAAAAAGUCACAUAUGCACUAGUGUUCAAAGGUUUGGGGUCAGUUUUUUUUUUUUUUUUUUUUUUUUUUUUUUUUUUUUUUUUUUAAUGUGUUUGGAAAAAAAGUAUUUUCUGCUUACCAAGACUGCAUUUGUUUAACUAAAAAUACAAUAAAAAUUGUGAAAUAUUAUUAGAAUUUAAAAUAGUGGGGUUCUAUGUGAAUAUGUGUUAAACUGUAAUUUAUUUCUGUGAUGCGCAGCUGUAUUUUCAGCAUCAUUACUCCAGUCUUCAGUGUCACAUGAUCUUCAGAAAUCAUUCUAAUAUGCUGCUUGAUAAAUAUUUCUGCACUGAAAAAAAUUACACUAUUUUUUUUAAGGUAAGUUGUUGCAAACUAUUUAUUUUAUCUACAUUUACAUAACAACAACAACAACAAAAAGCUGAAAGUUAGACUAAAUUUGUUUAUUUAAAUGCAGCUGAAAUAAAUUGAUUGCGACCACUUACCUUAAUAAAUAAUUUAGUAAAUUCAAUGAAUAUUUUUUUUUCAGUGUGAUUAUCAUCAAUGAUUAUCAAACUAUCCAAGCCCGUAAAUUUCAUGGAAAAGCAACUUUAAAAGGUAAUUGCAACUUUUUAUCUCACAAUUCUGAAAGAAAAAACUUAUAAAUUGUGAUAUAUAAAAUUGGUUAUGUGAGAAAGGUCAGAAUUGGAAGAGAAAAAUUGCAUUUAACUUUUUAUUUUUUAUUCUGAGGUGGAAACUAAUUAACCGUUUUGGAUUGAAAUAAAAAAAAAAGUCUGAAUUCUAGGUUUACACAUCGCAAUUCUGACUUUGACAAUUCAGAAUUGCAAGUUUAUUUCAGAAUUGCCAGAAAAAAAUACAAAUUGUUGGAUAUAAGCUCAGAAUUGAGAGACAUAAAACAAAAACAAUACAAAAAAAAUUCUGAUUUGUGAGAAAUAAACCAGAAAUUGUAAGAAAAUGUCUAAAUUGCGAAAUAUAUGUUCCGAAUUCUGAGAUCACGAAAAAAAAACAAAAAUCUGAAUUGUGAGAUAUAAACUCAGAAUUGAAGUCUGAACUUUGAGAUAAAAAGUCACAAUUACCUUUAUUUAUUUAUUUAUUUUUUUUAGGAAACAUAUUUCUUGAUAUUUUUGUGGAAACUGUGAUUUUUUUUUUUUUUUUUCAGGAUUUUUUGAUGGAUAGAAAAUUUGAAAGAUGAGUUUACUGUGACUUAAUGCAUCUUUGCUGAAUAAAUCUAUUAAUUUCCUUAAGAGAUGUUUAUCUGGCUGUGUUUGCAUUUACUCAAGCAACAUUACAAAUAAACACAAGGGCUUUGGGUCAUUUACGAGUCCCCGAGUCAAACAGAAAAAGCACAAAUGACAGAACCAGCGGUCUGAUACAGAACUCGACACCUUAAUGAGCACAAAAGCUGUGCAUCCUGAGCCUGCGAGCUUUUGUCUGGGAUCGGAUCACAGUCGACCCUCGAGUCUCCCGUCUCAUUUCAUUACAACCGUGAGUCGGCAAGCCGGAGUUCUGGCACAGACCGGCGGCCCAAAGUUAGGCCGGUUUUGAAAGAACGCGGUCUGGGGUUUGAGACCAACUGUCUUUCUUGGCCCGGAUGCCAUCCCUAAUAUUCAGCACAUUUCAUACACGGUUCAUUUCAGCUGGACAGCUUCGGUGCCAAUGAAAAUACAUUCGUUCUCUUCGCCUUCGACACUGGGAGCGAUCCAGGCCUCCCUCUCGAUCCAUGGAAAAGUGCACAGGAAGAGAAGGAGAGAAAGAUUUAAUUGCAAAGCGAGCCAUUCAUUUAAAACCGUGGAAAGACACCAGCUAACCUUUCAGUGUUAUAAAUCACAGGAUUGAUGAGGGGAAUGGCUGGAGCCGAACACAGAAGGCUGAAUCUAUUGUCCAUAUACGUGGUUGGCUUCAGGAAUAUAUGGAGGCUUGCUUUACAGAUGCCUGUUAUUUGAUGACUCAAUGGAGCCGAGGAAUAUUUUUUGCUUUGAGCGAAAGAAUUAUGACGGGGGAAAACAACCGCAUACUCAGAUAAAACGCUCUGCCAGGGACUUUUAUGAAUGCCGUUAGAUCUCCUGCUUGAUUUAUACGUCUGCAUUCCUGAGACCAAAUCAUGCAUUUUCUCAAGGUAACAUCCUAAUUAAGGCCAAAUCAAGAGAACCAAAGUGAAAGUUUUUAAUAAACAAUUUUAAUUGAGCGCGCCCCGUUUAUUUUGCAACCGAAAUCUGUUUUAUCUGAAUUCACAUGAUUUAAAAACUUGUCAAAUGUAGUUAUAGAAGAGAACAAAAAACACAAUCUGGUUUUGAUCAACAGACAGGCAAAAAAAUAAAUUACGCAGGCAUCAUCGGUUGAUUUUUCUUGCAUAAUUUACAGUAAAAUUUUCUCAUUCUGGAAAGCUUUUGGUGUUAGACAAAAAAGUAUUUAUAAAAAAAUUAUUGUUUAAUAAAAUGUAUUUAUUUGGCAUUCACUUUGUUUGUUUUCAACACUCACUGCAUUUAUUUGUUGAUUAGGCAUU